rnacentral:lncRNA from 1 species
AUCUACACUCACACAAUCAAAAGCACCCACACAGAGAGGGAGAGAGCACCGGGGGAGUGGCGGCAGGUUAGGGAGACACAGGAUGUGAAGUAGGGUGUGGCAGGGGCAGAUGUAACACGAGUAGAGUUAGAGGGAGUUUAGAACUGUAGAGGGAGUUUAGAACUGUAGAGGGAGUUUAGAACUGUAGAGGGAGUUUAGAACUGUAGAGGGAGUUUAGAACUGUAGAGGGAGUUUAGAACUGUCCAGGGAGUUUAGAACUGUACAGGGAGUUUAGAACUGUAGAGGGAGUUUAGAACUGUAGAGGGAGUUUAGAACUGUAGAGGGAGUUUAGAACUGUCCAGGGAGUUUAGAACUGUCCAGGGAGUUUAGAACUGUCGAGGGAGUUUAGAACUGUCCAGGGAGUUUAGAACUGUAGAGGGAGUUUAGAACUGUAGAGGGAGUUUAGAACUGUAGAGGGAGUUUAGAACUGUAGAGGGAGUUUAGAACUGUACAGGGAGUUUAGAACUGUCCAGGGAGUUUAGAACUGUAGAGGGAGUUUAGAACUGUAGAGGGAGUUUAGAACUGUAGAGGGAGUUUAGAACUGUAGAGGGAGUUUAGAACUGUAGAGGGAGUUUAGAACUGUACAGGGAGUUUAGAACUGUACAGGGAGUUUAGAACUGUAGAGGGAGUUUAGAACUGUCGAGGGAGUUUAGAACUGUCGAGGGAGUUUAGAACUGUCGAGGUAGAGGGAGUUUAGAACUGUCGAGGUAGAGGGAGUUUAGAACUGUCGAGGUAGAGGGAGUUUAAAAUAAAUAAAUGUGCCGAAUACAACAGGUGUAGACCUUACCGUGAAAUGUUGACUUACAAGCCCUUAACCAACAAUGCAGUUCAUAAAUAGUCCGGGUAGCCAUUUGAUUCAUUGUUAGGUAGUCUUAUGGCUUGGAGGUAGAAGCUGUU